CCUACGGGCGGCAGCAGUGGGGAAUAUUGGACAAUGGGGGGAACCCUGAUCCAGCCAUGCCGCGUGUGUGAAGAAGGCCCUCGGGUUGUAAAGCACUUUCAGUGAGGAAGAACGCCUGGUGGUUAAUACCCAUCAGGAAAGACAUCACUCACAGAAGAAGCACCGGCUAACUCCGUGCCAGCAGCCGCGGUAAUACGGAGGGUGCGAGCGUUAAUCGGAAUUACUGGGCGUAAAGCGCGCGUAGGUGGCUUGAUAAGCCGGUUGUGAAAGCCCCGGGCUCAACCUGGGAACGGCAUCCGGAACUGUCAAGCUAGAGUGCAGGAGAGGAAGGUAGAAUUCCCGGUGUAGCGGUGAAAUGCGUAGAGAUCGGGAGGAAUACCAGUGGCGAAGGCGGCCUUCUGGACUGACACUGACACUGAGGUGCGAAAGCGUGGGUAGCAAACAGGAUUAGAUACCCGGGUAGGC
rnacentral:rRNA from 1 species